rnacentral:rRNA from 1 species
UACAGAGGUCUCAAGCGUUGUUCGGAUUCAUUGGGCGUAAAGGGUGCGUAGGCGGCGCGGUAAGUCUGGUGUGAAAUCUUGGAGCUUAACUCCGAAACUGCAUUCGAUACUGCCGUGCUUGAGGACUGGAGAGGAGACUGGAAUUUACGGUGUAGCGGUGAAAUGCGUAGAUAUCGUAAGGAAGACCAGUGGCGAAGGCGGGUCUCUGGACAGUUCCUGACGCUGAGGCACGAAGGUCAGGGGAGCAAACGGG